AGGGAAUCUUCCACAAUGGACGAAAGUCUGAUGGAGCAACGCCGCGUGUGUGAUGAAGGGUUUCGGCUCGUAAAACACUGUUGUAAGAGAAGAAUGACAUUGAGAGUAACUGUUCAGUGUGUGACGGUAUCUUACCAGAAAGGAACGGCUAAAUACGUGCCAGCAGCCGCGGUAAUACGUAUGUUCCAAGCGUUAUCCGGAUUUAUUGGGCGUAAAGCGAGCGCAGACGGUUAUUUAAGUCCGAAGUGAAAGCCCACAGCUUAACUGUGGAAGUGCUUUGGAAACUGGAUAACUUGAGUGCAGUAGAGGAGAGUGGAACUCCAUGUGUAGCGGUGAAAUGCGUAGAUAUAUGGAAGAACACCAGUGGCGAAGGCGGCUCUCUGGACUGUAACUGACGUUGAGGCUCGAAAGUGUGGGUAGCAAACA
rnacentral:rRNA from 1 species